GGUUAAGCGACUAAGCGUACACGGUGGAUGCCCUGGCAGUCAGAGGCGAUGAAGGACGUGCUAAUCUGCGAUAAGCGUCGGUAAGGUGAUAUGAACCGUUAUAACCGGCGAUUUCCGAAUGGGGAAACCCAGUGUGAUUCGUCACACUAUCAUUACGUGAAUACAUAGCGUAAUGAAGCGAACCGGGGGAACUGAAACAUCUAAGUACCCCGAGGAAAAGAAAUCAACCGAGAUUCCCCCAGUAGCGGCGAGCGAACGGGGAGCAGCCCAGAGUCUGAAUCAGCUUGUGUGUUAGUGGAACGGUCUGGAAAGUCCGACGGUACAGGGUGAUAGUCCCGUACACCAAAAUGCACAGGUUGUGAACUCGAAGAGUAGGGCGGGACACGUGGUAUCCUGUCUGAAUAUGGGGGGACCAUCCUCCAAGGCUAAAUACUCCUGACUGACCGAUAGUGAACCAGUACCGUGAGGGAAAGGCGAAAAGAACCCCGGCGAGGGGAGUGAAAAAGAACCUGAAACCGUGUACGUACAAGCAGUGGGAGCCCCUUUAGGGGUGUGACUGCGUACCUUUUGUAUAAUGGGUCAGCGACUUAUAUUCUGUAGCAAGGUUAACCGUAUAGGGGAGCCGAAGGGAAACCGAGUCUUAACUGGGCGUUAAGUUGCAGGGUAUAGACCCGAAACCCGGUGAUCUAGCCAUGGGCAGGUUGAAGGUUGGGUAACACUAACUGGAGGACCGAACCGACUAAUGUUGAAAAAUUAGCGGAUGACUUGUGGCUGGGGGUGAAAGGCCAAUCAAACCGGGAGAUAGCUGGUUCUCCCCGAAAGCUAUUUAGGUAGCGCCUCGUGAACUCAUCUUCGGGGGUAGAGCACUGUUUCGGCUAGGGGGUCAUCCCGACUUACCAACCCGAUGCAAACUGCGAAUACCGAAGAAUGUUAUCACGGGAGACACACGGCGGGUGCUAACGUCCGUCGUGAAGAGGGAAACAACCCAGACCGCCAGCUAAGGUCCCAAAGUCAUGGUUAAGUGGGAAACGAUGUGGGAAGGCACAGACAGCCAGGAUGUUGGCUUAGAAGCAGCCAUCAUUUAAAGAAAGCGUAAUAGCUCACUGGUCGAGUCGGCCUGCGCGGAAGAUGUAACGGGGCUAAACCAUGCACCGAAGCUGCGGCAGCGACACUAUGUGUUGUUGGGUAGGGGAGCGUUCUGUAAGCCGUUGAAGGUGUAUCGUGAGGUAUGCUGGAGGUAUCAGAAGUGCGAAUGCUGACAUAAGUAACGAUAAUGCGGGUGAAAAACCCGCACGCCGGAAGACCAAGGGUUCCUGUCCAACGUUAAUCGGGGCAGGGUGAGUCGACCCCUAAGGCGAGGCCGAAAGGCGUAGUCGAUGGGAAACAGGUUAAUAUUCCUGUACUUGGUGUUACUGCGAAGGGGGGACGGAGAAGGCUAUGUUAGCCGGGCGACGGUUGUCCCGG
rnacentral:rRNA from 1 species